rnacentral:siRNA from 1 species
UGUCUAGAGUUAUUUAUCUUGA